GGCUUGUCUGAGUCCUGAGCCAGCAGAGCUCAGGCCACAGCACCUGCACCCGUUUUCUGCUGCGGCACACAAGGGCUCUGUGCAUUCCUCAUCCAGAAGAUCUUAGAUUAGUAAGAUCAUGUUGGCCACGGCAUGGAGAAUGGGCUGGAGGUGGAGAGACUGGCGGCUGGAAGUCCAGUUAGGAGAUCGCUCCUGCACUGGGGAGCUGGUGUUAGGACAGAAGAUCCAAGACGCAUUUCAGAGAGCCCCUCUUCUUGGGCCUGUGAUUCCUCACCUGGAAGGGAGAAGAGUGGACUUCCUGCCUAGAGAACACCUUGUGGCUCCCUUUGAAGAACUGCCUUGGGGUUCAUGUUGCAGCAUCAAACAGGGAUGGAAGAUGCAUCUUGCUUUAGCAGCAGGAGCCUGGAAAGCAGCUGAAGCCCUGGAGGGUGCCUGGCACACAGAAUCUUGUGCUGAGCCCGGAGCCCAAUGGGAGCGGGCUGGCGGGGUGGGUUCACAGCUGGACUGGGAGCAGCAGACAUACAGGCCGUAGGCACAGACAUAUAAAGACAGUCAUGCAGAUUGCAGGAUGCCUGAGAGCACAGACUCUCACAUGCACAAAUAUGUGCAUGAUCACCAGUGUGUAUCCAGACAGCCCCACAUGCGUGCACGUGCAUGCACACAUGAGAUAUGUACAUAGAUGGACACAUGUCUAUGCCCACAAACACUGCAGAGACACACGCUAAAGUGUCUGGCAAGGAGCACUAUUUUGUCCUCAAUUUUCUGCCAGCGAGAGUCUACUGACUCCAUCUCUGAAAUGUCUCUACUUAUUGUCCCUCUUCUUCACCUGUGCCACAUCCCUAAUCCCUGAAACUCCCACCGAGACCCCUGGGAAAU
rnacentral:lncRNA from 1 species